rnacentral:rRNA from 1 species
CUACGGGAGGCAGCAGUGGGGAAUAUUGCACAAUGGGCGGAAGCCUGAUGCAGCAACGCCGCGUGCGGGAUGACGGCCUUCGGGUUGUAAACCGCUUUCGCCUGUGACGAAGCGUGAGUGACGGUAAUGGGUAAAGAAGCACCGGCUAACUACGUGCCAGCAGCCGCGGUGAUACGUAGGGUGCGAGCGUUGUCCGGAUUUAUUGGGCGUAAAGGGCUCGUAGGUGGUUGAUCGCGUCGGAAGUGUAAUCUUGGGGCUUAACCCUGAGCGUGCUUUCGAUACGGGUUGACUUGAGGAAGGUAGGGGAGAAUGGAAUUCCUGGUGGAGCGGUGGAAUGCGCAGAUAUCAGGAGGAACACCAGUGGCGAAGGCGGUUCUCUGGGCCUUUCCUGACGCUGAGGAGCGAAAGCGUGGGGAGCGAACAGGCUUAGAUACCCUGGUAGUCCACGCUGUAAACGGUGGGUACUAGGUGUGGGGUCCAUUCCACGGGUUCCGUGCCGU